rnacentral:rRNA from 1 species
CCUACGGGUGGCAGCAGUGAGGAAUAUUGCUCAAUGGGCUCGAGCCUGAACCAGCCAAGUCGCGUGAGUGAAGACGGUCCUAUGGAUUGUAAACCUCUUUGGUCGGGGAGCAAAAGACGCCACGCGUGGCGUUCCGAGAGUACCCGAAGAAAAAGCAUCGGCUAACUCCGUGCCAGAAGCCGCGGUAAUACGGAGGAUGCGAGCGUUAUCCGGAUUUCUUGGGUUUAAGGGGUGCGCAGGGGGAAGAUCAAGUCAGCGGUAAAAUUGAGAGGCUCAACCUCUUCGAGCCGUUGAAACUGGUUUUCUUGAGUGAGUGAGAAGUAUGCGGAAGGCGUGGUGUAGCGGUGAAAUGCAUAGAUAUCACGCAGAACUCCGAUUGCGAAGGCAGCAUACCGGCGCUCAACUGACGCUCAUGCACGAAAGUGUGGGUAUCGAACAGGAUUAGAUACCCUAGUAGUC